GGAUAACCAAUAAAGCUCAGCAGCUCAAGUUUAGGCGUUGCUUCUUCUCCAAACUCCACCGACCUGAGGUCAGGUAAAGCCAGCUGCAGGACCAUCAGACUCGGGAAUGUCUCUCGACGGAAAGUGAGAUUGAGCUCUUUACCCUUGAACGAACGCUUCAACAGACGUAGGAUGGCCAGGUUGGGUAGCUUGCCAAGGACCUGUAUGGUGGCAUCCAACUCUGAAAGCAUGGUCUCCUUUAGCUUCAGCUUCACAAGGCUAUUGAGCCCCCCGAUCCAUUCCGGCAAUUUGGCUAGAUUGCCGCGCACCAUGAGGCUCUGGAGGUUUUUUGGAGGCGAUGACACACCAUCCAAGCAGCCCUGUAAAUCUGGCUCGCUCAUUGAAUGCACUGUCAGAGAUUCUAGGCAGCGGAGAUCAGCAAGGGUGGAACAAAACUCUCCACAAUUUUUCUUGUCGAUGCCAAUCACUGCUAACCUGCGCAACUGGGUGAGCGCUUUUAUCUCCUUUAGGAUGCCCUGCCCCACAGCGAUGUUAACAACACUCAGUGUGCGCAGCAAUCUCAGCUUUCUGAAUCCUCUCGGCAAUACAAUUCCAUCUUCAAUCUCACCGGAUGUACUGCAGCCUAGUAUGAUACUGUAAUCGAUCGUAGCAUGAAUAUAAUGCAACUUCCUGAGAUUGAUGAUGGUCUUUGGCAAAUUUCUUAUCGAUGUUUGUUUAAUAUCCAGCGUCUGCAGUUGCUUCAGAUUACCCAAUGAAUCGGGCAGGCGAAAAAUACUGUUACAUCUUCUUAGAGAAAGGUAUUGUAGGUGAUGAAGCUUCCCAAUUUGCUCAAGAUGACGAUCAUAUAGAUAAUCUAUGUUUUCCAAGUCUAGUAUUCGCAGCAAACUCAUCUUGUUAGAAAUGAAAAAUGGCCUCCACUUUCCAAACACUGUUAAUGAUCGUAUACGAUUCAUGUCCACCAUGCUCUCGAAGUCUCUUUUAUCUCCCUCCCAAUUACUGUUUAUCGUAAGGUGGCGUACUGUGCCAUGUGUGUUUGAUCUGCAACCUUCUUCCAGUCUGAAAACAAGAUUUUCCUCCGUUGACUUUGAGAUGCUAAUUUCACGCAUGAGAUCAUGGACUUGGCAAGAGUCAAAUCCUUUUCUACUGUAGGCUGACUCAUGACAUGGUAGGAUCAUGCUCCUACCUAUUAAUUCCAUAAAGUAUCUAUCAGCUAUUUCCUCCGCAGACUUUUCACGGAUCUCCCUUGAAUAACCUUCUGCAGUCCACCGCCGCGUCAAACGUCUGCGGCUAAGUUUGUGGUCUUCAGGAAAGAUGGACAGAUACAAAAAACAAGACUUGAGAUGAUAGGGUAAACCAUCAUAACUUUUACUUAGGAUUGUUCUAAUGGCUUCAAGCUCAGGGUUUAUCUCCAAUUCAGCACUAAUAUGCUCAUUUAAUUUCCUCCACUCCAUGGCUGUUUUUGGUUGGUUAACCAAGAAACCACCGAUGGUGACUAUUGCAAGGGGAAGUCCGUUGCACUUCUUCAAGAUCAGUUUUGCUUCUUCAAUCAAAUCAGGACGACGUUGUUCCAGGUCUAUGGCCUCCUUAAAUACCUAAAUUCAAAAAGUGUAAGUUCUUUGAGUACUCUAAACUUAGAUCAUAGAUGAACAUAUUUAGUAGUUUAAUUGUAUUUGAAGUGAGGAUACAAUUGCUAGCCUAUGUGAAGUUUACCACAUUUUACUAUUUUUGUGUUCAGCUAUUUGAUCUAGAAGUGGAUUCAUGGGGUAAUCAGAGCGCUUUUCUACUACAUCCAUCAAUUUUGUAAUAUAUUAUCAAUGGACCACAAACUAAUGAUGGCACAUGAUAUAUGCCAUCAUAACUAGGAAGGAAACACUAUUUAUUGUUUAAAGGAGAUGAGCUUUUCACUAUGACAGAUUAAAAAAAAUGAAAAAUAGCCUAAAAUUUCUAAAAAAGGUAAAACAUCUGACAAUUUUGUUAGACCCCAGUUUCAAAUUGAACCACAACUUAUUAAAUACUUGGGAUGACUUAAUUACAUAGGAGACUAAAACACAUUUGAUAAUAACCAACUUAAUUAAAAUCCCACAAUAUAUAAAUUUGGUCCAUGUAGCACUAGUUAAUUUACCAAUGAUCAAUUUUAGUAAUAAAAUAAAGACACAAUAAUCAUGAGUUUUAAGACCAGGAUGGUUCUUUUCUAAAUGUAUAAAAUAUAAAUAAAUAAAUAAAUAUAUGUUGUGUAUGCGUGUGUGUAUUGGGCGUGAGCCCAGUCGUCUAGCGCCGGCCUGCCCUUGUUGGUUAGAGGGAUACGAGGAGAUCUUGAUUGGUCUUGUUUCUAUAAACCUCAAGAUCUCCUCACCUCUCUAUAUAUGUAUACUUAUCCCUCUAUUAUUCCAAUCUACUAUUCCACGCAAUCUCAUUGCUUUCAAAGGUUCUAGAUUUGGGACAAAUUUCAUCGAAAUUUUAGUUUUAUUGAUUUUCAUGAAAAGUUCAACUUAACGUAAAGCAUAAAGUCUGAUACUAAUGGGCUAAUCCCAUAUAUUUGUUACUUUUACUAAAUAUAAAAAAAUGUUUCGACCAACAUUUUCUGCGUCUGGCUCAUCACAUGUCUGUCUCGCAUCCGCAUUCAAUCUAUAUUUGACACUAUAUGUGUCCAACUUUGAAUUCCAAGAAUAAAUAUGGGACAUGAAUAUAGGAUACAUGAUUAGGAAUACCCAUCAGUAUCUGAUCCAUUUUCACCACAGUUUAUAAUGCCACACAUUUAUUUGAUUUUAAAAGUACAUGAUAGUUCAUGCAAAGAACAAUGUUAAUUAUCAGUACUUCAACACCUUAACGUAUGGUGCCACAUAUAGUAACAUAUAUACAGGCACAAUAGUGGUAAAAGGAAAUAAAGACAGUGGGUACCAAUACCUUUCUUGUGAAGAGGUCAAGUGCAUCCUUGUCCCCUAAAAUUUUGAGCUUAUAUAUAUUUUCUUGCUUCUCUGAACAAUACUUUGCAAUAUUCUCUUCCCUUGUUGUGAUUAUGAUCCGGCUUGUAUUUUCCAUUUUAGGAAAACUCUGUACUACCAUGUCCCACUCUGUAGUAGAUGACAAAUCAUCAAGAACAAUCAAGCACUUAAAUCCUUCUAAAAGCCUAGCCACCUCUUUAAUGAGGGCUUCAACACCCAUCGUUGGUAAUUCUUUUCUUGUGCCACCCCUCAAAUCCAUAAUUGACCUCCUCUCCUCAGAAGAUUCUGUGUGUAGUUGCAUGAUUAAGCUCUUAAGGAGCUCCUUCAGAAUGAAAGGACGCAUCACAGUAACAAAAACACACUUCUCAAACAUGCCAAUAAGAUGUUGGUUUUGGUAAACAUCCUUGAUUAGAGUGGUUUUCCCAAGACCACCCAUCCCCCAAAUAGAAAUCACUAAAAAUUGUUGACCAAGUUUAUCUGAAAUCAGUCCUGCCACGUCAGAUGCUUCUUUCUCUCGUCCAAUAAGCUUAGAUUCCUCUAAAGCGUUAGUCAUAGUCUUGAUGCGAGUAAGGUUAUUUCUGACCACCUUCCUGUCUUUGCUACCUUUAGAUUGAUUCUCCAAUAUCUCAUUGGUGGGCACUACUAGGUUCAAUGUACUUGUUGUGGCUGCAUCUGAGCUUGGUAAUAGUGUUGGUGAAUCAGUUCCAUCCUGUGAAUUAUGAACACAUGCAAAUAAUAUUUGUCACAAUAAUCUCGAUCUUGCAAAUUGUUACAUAAUAUUUUCACAAUAAAUAGGCAUCUCAUAUGAACUAUGCAAUUAAUAUCAUUUGUUACAUAUAGAAACUAUUUGAUUCAUUAAUUAAAAACUGAUUUAUAACAAAUAUAAGGAUAUUAUCUAGCCCAAUUAUGAAAGAAAUAUUCCGACCAGAAUCAUAACUAUUAUUUACUAGUAUGUGAAAAAAAUUAUACAGCAGUAUAGCUUUUCUCAAGAUUCCUCGUAAUGAAAAAUAGUAUGUUUAGUUCAUUUCACUUCCCCGCAAAAAAUGCCAUAAAAAAUACUAGUACAUUUAACAACCUUAAUGAUUUUAAUCCUUGAUGAGAAAUUAAUCCCAAAGAACUGCGAUAAGUAAUUAGAUUAUUUUUGUACUCCUAAAAUUAGAUUAUUUCUCAAGAAUGAAUAUACCUUCUCAUAGAAAGCAUAAAUAGUCUGAUCAGUGGAGAAUUGCUUGAGCUCCAAUACUUGGCUUUCUUGCCCCAGGCACAAGCUUGCAACUUCAACUUGUGGUGUGCACACUAUGAUUCGACUACCUUUCUUGUAGUUUGGGAAACAUACUUUAAUGUCAUCCCACUCUUCAAUUGUUGAUAGGUCAUUAAGCACAACAAGGUAACCCUUCUCGUUCACAUAUCCCUUCAACUCCUCAGCCAACUCUUGCCAUGUCUUGUCUUCCUCCAACAAACCUUCAAAUCCUACGGUGGAACGGAACUGCUUCACCAAGCUCUGGACAAAGUCUUUUGCAUUGAAAGGAUGCAUUACCCUGACCCAUGCUCUAUAUGCGAAUUUCCCUUUGAUAUCUGGAUUAUCGUAGACAGCUUUGAUGAUGGAUGUCUGCCCAAGAUCACUACUUGUUCCCCAUACAGCUAUUACUCUAAGAUCCUCGCCCUCUUGGUUGAUGAGUUGGACCAGAUCCACUUUUGAGUUGUCCUUCUUCCCAGCACGUCGUGCAUCAUUGAUACCAUAUAUUCCUGCAGCUGCAAUGUUAGGCUUCUCAUCAGCAGAAGUGACAGGCUUGGAGCUGGCACUAUUGAUAAGCUGGUAGCGCAGGUUCCUCUGGCUCACGUCCUCAACUCUGGCCCUCAACUCCUUCAUCUGCUUGGCAAUGCGGCGCCGCUCACGCAGGGUGCGAGGGAGAUGCCACCAUGAUUGGUUAUGGAGAUGGAUGGAAAAAUUUUGGAGGCAGUCCUCCGCAUCAUAGGCCACAUCACGGACUUGCUUCACCCAGGUCAUGAGUACCUCAUGGUCAUCUCGCUCACCAUGCGCGGCCCUCAGGAAAGCCUGCAUCAUCGAGAGCUCGUCCCUGAUGAAAGCAUGAUCACGCUGGAUGCCGAGCUGCAAAGCCACCUCCUCCGCGACUGCGGAUUUGGCGUAGCCAAGUGCUCCAUCCAGCACGGACUUGCCCACACUCAACGCGGUGGCCUCCAUGGCUCUCCUCUCGGGUGUGCUGUGUGGUGUGGAUGGGUGUGGAAAUGCUUGGUGCCAGUCCACAAGCCAACCAUUUGAUUAUAAAGGUGUAGCAGUUCCUCAAGUCGUACCAAAUUGAUUGCUGAAGCUGACAAGGCGGGGCCGGUAAACAACUGGGCGGGGGGCGGCAAGCUAAUCUGAACUAGGCGCGGGGCACUGGUGCAAAACAACUGCGGGUCUGUUUGGCAACCCGCUGUUAAAGUUUAACACCCGUCACAUCGAAUGUUUAGAUGCUAAUUAGGAAUAUUAAAUAUAGGCUAAUUACAAAACUAAUUGCACAGAUGGACUAUAAUUCGCGAGACGAAUCUAUUAAGCCUAAUUAGUCCAUGAUUUGACAAUGUGGUGCUACAGUAACCAUUUACUAAUGAUGGAUUAAUUAGGCUUAAUAGAUUCGUCUCGCGAAUUAACACAGGGUUCUGCAAUUAGUUUUAUAAUUAGCUCAUGUUUAGUUCUCCUAAUUAGCAUCCGAACAUCCGAUGUGAUACUGUUAAAGUUUAACACCUCGUAUCCAAACACCCCCUGCAUUGCGAAUCUCUGGUUUCUGAGUGACCAACGAGGCAACAAUAGUGCUCCAGUGUUGCGCCCUUGGAGACGGAUAUGACCAGGAGUUGCCCCUUGAGACAUCAGACACGUGCAGCAAUCGUGCUCAACUGCUCAGUGUGAACACGUAGGAUCGAAGCCCUCUGGUAUAAGCUAUCAGAGGGGUGAAUGACUGAAUAAUAAUAAAUUGCAGUGGAAAAUUUUUCACCCUAAAAAUAGAUUCCGGAUUGGAUCGUCCACUUAAUCGUGUGUUGCUCUUAGAAUUUAACUACUAUCGAUGUGAAACUUGACCAGAAAACAGUCUAUGAAAUUGUUGCUACGGCCAACCCAAUCCACCGCUUGCUGCCUGUCGCCGUGCCCAGAUGCAAACGGGAGGGAAAAGAAAAGGAGAGUCAACGGGAGAGAUGGGCAGAGGAUCACGGUAGUCGGCAGAAAUACCUUCGUGAAGAUAGAAGUUGAAGAAAGUUCUCUUAGGAAAGCCAGAAGGAUAUGAAUUAAAAUAAAAAUGUUACAUUUCAGUCCUUUAGGUAGGGGUUGUAUUCUCUCAGAUGACGUGCAUGAUGUAUUCUCACACAAUCAACAAAAUGGUAUACAAGAGAUUGUGUUUAUGCUUGAUCACCAUAAUUUACAGGUUCACGUAUGAAUUAAAUAAUUUACAGACGAUAUAUAGAUGAACCAUUGUACAAGCUGUCUAUUUUACUAUCUAUAUGUGAUGUGGUAAGUUUUUACAUACAGUAGCUGUCUUCGCUGUUGUACAUACUCUAAGAAGCUAUUCUCAUCUACCAGACUUCAUUAACUAUAGUUAUAGUGCUGCAACUGUACUAGAUCGAGACAAGUGCUGUAAACCCAUUGAUCCCUCAACGACUCUUUGCAUUGAGGGCAGGAAAGUACUCGACAAACCCAGGUUGCAGAUAAAUGCGAUGACCUCGCCUGGGGCAAAUAAUUGAGGUGGUUGGGGCAAAUAAUUGAGGUGGUUGCGCAGCAACGAUGUGCACUCAAGUACUAACGGGUUUGGAUAUAUAGUUCGGACUAAAAUUCAUAUCGCAUCGAAUAUUCGGAGGCUAAUGAGGAGGACUAAAUAUGAGCUAAUUAUAAAACUAAUUACACAAACGGAGGCUAAUUAGCGAGAUGAAUCUAUUAAGCCUAAUUAAUCCAUCGUUAGCACAUGUUUACUGUAGCAUCACAUUGUCAAAUCAUGGACUAAUUAGAUUUAAUAGAUUCGUCUCACAAAUUAACCUCCAUUUGUGCAAUUGGUUUUGUAAUUAGUCUAUAUUUAAUACUCCUAAUUAGUAUUUAAACAUUUAAUGUGACAGGAAUUUUAGGAGGUUAUAAAGAACCAAACACCCUGUAAGAUUGAUCAAGCAGGCAGGCUUUGACUGAAUAGUUUGUUCCGAUCCCGUGCCCUAAACUACGCAAACAAGGAGGGCAACGGCCCAGCGACUCACCAGGGAGAAAAGCACUUUAAGUAGUACGCUCUAGGUGGAGACGAAUAAACUGGGGGUGUUGUGUGCUUGAGACGGUGGUCAUGAAAAUUUUUACUCUGGUGUUUUAGUAAUAGACUACUUUCUUUUGACAUAAGCAUGAUGGAUGUCAUGAUUGUCUUCUUAAGUUCUUUCACUUUGUUUGUAAUAAUGGACAGAUAUAUGUAUCAAUCGAUAUGGCCACUACGCCAAAUUUGAUUUAUGUUGGCAUAGGCAAAUUAGCAUGCUGGCGGGCGUGAUUGGCACUCGUCAGCACAAAGCUUCCUUGGGCCGGCUGGGGAGCACCCCCUAGUGGCGGGCAACGCAAGCACCCGCCAGCAUAGAAGCACCCCAUCUGUGUUGGCGGUGGGUUUAUGUCGCCCGCCAGCAUAGAGGACACAUGCAAGCGAAAAGAAGACUCCAGAACACCAUAGAAGACUUGGGGACGAAGGGAGGCGCAAGAGGCCAAAAGGAAGGGCCAGGCCGAUCAGCCUAGACACCCUAAGGCCGAUCGUCCUGGGCCAUUCCCUCACCCCCUCGACUUCACAUUUCAACCACGGGUCCUCCAGACCAUAAAUACCCCGAUUCUCCAUAGCCACGAGCAAUCAAUUCGAAGUAUUCGAUGGUAAGCAGCAGAGAAGUAGAAGGAGCCUGAGGGACACCACUUCGGAGAGUGGAGGGCCGUGCAAUUGUCUAGGGAUUAGCGCAACUAAGCCCUAGCCGACAUGGUAAUCCUGCGAGGAAGAUCCACAUUGGAGUUCUGGAGCUAGGAUCAACAGAUCAAGGUAGGAUCCCGGUGAAGAUCUGGUGAUGUACAAUCAUUCAUGGUGAAGUAAUAGAUGUGUUUCAGUUCUUUAGCAAUCAAAGUGCCUCCUUCUAUGAUUUCAUGCUUUAUCGGGUUUGCUUGUUUUCAAUCUAUGAUCGAUGAUAGAUUGCAUAGGAUGUUCAUGUGGUCGUGGUGACUAGAUUUACAUGUCUGAUUUACCGAUGAGUAUGACAUGUUCUUUAUGUUCGUGCCCUUAAUUUGCCCAUGCUGAUAGGGGGUCAUGAUAGGGUCUGCUUCCGUGUAAGCUGGGGGUUUUUGGGAGUCUGAAAGGAGGUGUAGGCACAUCUGUCUUGCUUUGCUAUCUUGCUCAGAAUUACAACAUAUGCAUAGUCUAGGUUGCUCUAGAUUGGUUACCUUUUUUUUCAUAUCUGUUAUCUAUCUGUUCAUGCUGAUUACAUCUGAUCUACUCAUAAACAAGGUUCAUACUGAAAAUGCUAGUUGAAGUAGUUCUUGCAUUAUAAGUUCCACGGAUUGAUAAAUAUUUGGGAAUACUCUAAGGGAAGAGCUACAACUGAUCCGUGCGCUUGUGGUUCACCAACUUGGUGCGCUAACAGCCGCCAACAACUUGAGGGGAGUAAUUUGGACUUUUUCCUUGUUAGAAUGGCUAUGGUACAAUUACAAUCUUUUGGCUAUGCAAGCAUAGAAUUAUAGUUAUGUUGUUGUUAUAUUGUAAUGGAAGAUCCACACAAAUGGCAGAAUUAUACUGUAAUAGUACCUUUCUUGUGAAGAGGUCUUGUGCAUCCUUGCAGUCAAAAACUUUGAGCUUUCUUGUUUCUCUGAACAAUCUUGCACAUUAUAGUUCUACAAAAAUAGAAUUAUGUUUGCUUGGGUAAUUAAAAGAAACAAGAUAGAUUGAUUAGGCAAGAAUGGAAUUAUAACAUAUAGGGGAGGCUAGUAUCUAGCCCAAUUACAAAUGAGGUGUUUAGAUAGAACUAUAAUGUGCAAGAUUGUUAUUGGCCAAUAUAUAGAUUUUCUUUAACACUAAUAUUACUAAUAAUAGAUUCUAUUUGGAUGAUCGAUGUUAAUUCUCACUAGACACACUAGAAAAAUAGAUAGAUCUUAGAAAAUCUCACAAAGAGCGAAACAUUUUACCAUCAAUUUUGUAGACUCAAUCGUUGUUGAUAACAAUAAGCAUAGGAUGUACUUUACUUUAAAAAUGACCUACCUCUACCAUUACAAAGAUAAUAUCCAAAAUCUACACCUAAAAUCCCCAAAUAUGCCAUUAUGAAUAAGAAUUUAAUCAUCCCCUAAAUCUCCAUACAAGUGACCAAUCACUGCUAGUAUGAAAAUAAAGCGCAAGUAACCUCGCAAUUUGUAUCUAAAUUACCAAUACCCUCUGCCAUUAUGAAUAAGAAUUUAAAUAAGAUAAUAAAUUUGGGCCUAGAUUAUCCAUGGUUUCCAUUAUUAAAAAUAACUUGAAGUAAUGCUUAAAUCUACAUCUGAAUUACACAUUUCUAUGAUUAUAAAGUAUAAUAACCCAAAGCAUGCCCUAUAAAUGCUUCUAAAUUGAUCAUUUCUAUCAUUAUUAAUAUGUGAAAAAAACUAAAGUAUACACAUGCAUGAGAGAUUUGUCUUAACACCUUUGUGCUUCGGGCGGGAGAGCAAAUUGCUAUCUGUGAAAGCUAUUUCCCUAUUUCUUGUACCAUUGUUUUGCAUGGCAGCCUGCCAGCCAAAGCUUGAUCUAAACCCAAAACCAAACUAAACGAAAACAAACAGAAGAAGGUAAGAACUCAAAACAAUUUUACCCCUAACAGUAAAUGAUAAAAUCAGAUUUCCUCCCUUCACUACAGAAAAAUCAAACCUUUUAUCCGUGGAACGGAAUGAGAUCUUUCAUCGAUGGAUGCGUGGCGUCUUCGGGCCAGCAGACCCAGCCCACAUACACGUGGAGAGAGUUGGUCACUUGGGUUAUUGUCGGAUUUCGGUCAGGUGCUUUCAGGGGGUGUUUGGAUAACAGGUGCUAAACUUUAGCAGUGUCACAUCGGAUGUUCGGAUGUUAAUUAGGAGGCCUAAACAUGAGCUAAUUAUAAAACUAAUUGCAAAACGUUGUGCUAAUUCGCAAGACGAAUCUAUUAAGCCUAAUUAAUCCAACAUUAGCAAAUGGUUACUGUAGCACUACAUUGUCAAAUCAUGGACUAAUUAGGCUUAAUAGAUUCGUCUCGUGAAUUAGACUCCAUCUGUGCAAUUAGUUUUGUAAUUAGCCUAUGUUUAAUACUCCUAAUUAGCAUCCAAAUAUCCGAUGUGACAUGUGCUAAACUUUAGCACGGGGUAUCCAAACACCCCCUCAGCAUGGUACAACAAGCGCAAGAAACAGAGCAAUCCUGAGCAGCGCAACCAGCACAGCACAGGCAACCGCUGCUCUGCUGCAUCCUGUUCGCUCGCGGUGUUGUUUUGUCCAUUGUUGAAGCAACGAGGAAUAAAAUGGAAUUGUUGGUGCCUCGCUGGUUCUCUACUACUGGUGGUGGUGGUCAUUUGUUCAGGGCUGAUUUCCCUGUAACCUGAAGGUGAUGACAUGAUACAGUUUCUAAGAAAAAUAGUUACCAAGUAGUAAUGUAUAAUAGUGAUAGUCUGUCUUCUGAGAGAGGAAUGACUAGAAGCAACAAAUCGUAAGUGUCCUUUGUGGUGUAACCACAUUUCAGAUGAGGGAAAACAAAAUAGAGGUCAGGAAACUUCCAAUGCCAUCAUGCUCAUACCGAGACAAUAGUAUUUGGUACAGUUGUUGGUUGUUUAAUAGAGACAUGAACCUAAGCCGAUGCUCUAGAAACCGCACUCCGCCGCUGCAACCAACUUCAACGUUACAAUGCCAAGCAGCGGAACAAUCGUGGAUUACCUUACUGACAAGGCACAGCCAUGACCAGCCGCAGGUUUGCUUCGUCAUGCCUCUGCUAACUCGCCCCGCUGUGUGUUUCUGCUCCCAACCAGUACAGCGCAUUUGCUCAGGAUCUCUCCCUGAGGCUGGAGGUCACGUCAGUUACCUCUUCAAAACGGGUGCAUUUGGAUUCUCCAGAAGCUGGGCCCGCACGUCUUCCACAAAAUCCUUCUUGUAUUCAUCGUUGUCCUAGGCAUUAAAAUUUGGAAAUUAAUAAAAUUUGCUAGACUUUUCUAGAAUUUAUUUGAGCUUGUUUAGGGAUUUAAGGAGUUUCUAAGAUUUUAUUUAAUUUCCUAGGCAUUCAAAUAUUUUUCAAAAAUUUAAUUAAUGAACCAUAGGAGUUAAUUGUUGCAUUCAUGCUGGUGCAUUCAUUUUUGUUGUUUGAAUUCAAAUUUGUAUUUGAAUUCAUGUUUGAAUCUCUUUUCAAACAAUUUCCUUUUCUUUCUCUUUUCGGCCCACUUCCUUCUUUCGGCCUAGCUCGCAGCAGCAGCGCAGUAGUGGCCCGCUUCCGUGCCAGCCUCCGCCACCUCCCGAUGACAGGCGGGGCCUGCUCGUAAUCGCCCUCCUCGCACCCGCGUCCGCACCCAACUCGAACUAGAGUCCAAGCCGGACCACGCCGUGGCGCGCACGCCAAGGCCACCCCCAGAGCUUUAUAAACCACGCCGUCGCAACCCUAGCCGCCGCCUGAGCUCGAACCCGCUACCAUUGUUUUCUACCGCCUUCUCUUUCCCGUCGAUGAGAUCAAAGCCCGGAGCACCGCGAGGAGGUCAGGAAGCCGCCUGUGUAGAUCCCGUGCGCUCUCGUGCCCUCUUUCAUGCGCACCAGCUCGCUGGAGUUACCACCACCACGCCGAGCCGUUUCGCCGCGUUGUCUCGUGCCGUCGUCACCUCGGCCGGCGCGGGAUCCACCUAGAUCAGUUCGUCGCGCCGCUAGCUUCGUCCCGAGCUAGUCCCCGUCGAAGAUCGUGGACUGCCGCUCGAGCUAUGCUCGUUUCCAGCGAGGUCCUCUGCAGCGCCGCUGCUCGUCGCCGCUUUCUCUUGGUCGACCGCAGCCAUUCGAUCGAGGAUCGACGACUCAGAUCUGAUUUGACCCGAGUCAAUACCGGUCAACUGAGUUGCGCACUGCUUUUUCAAAAGGCCCUUGCUGUUUUCCCUUUUCGCACCCGAGAUCCAUCCAGUUCAAAAGUAUUUCAAUCUAAGUCCUUUUCUUUUGUUUUAGCCCCUGCCCUUUUAUAAAAUUCCACUAGCCAUCCUGUUUGGUCCUUUUACGUGUUAGACCUUCUAUUUAUAUGUAUAAUUAGGUUUUAGCCCUUGGUUUCUUUAAGUUUAGCCAUUUGAAGUUUAGUUUUCUCACAGUUAAGUCCCUGAACCUUGUUUAGCUCAUAUCUUUAGCGUUUUAAAUCCGUUUUAAGCGAUUCUUGCACCUAUGAGUUCGUGUUGAUGCAUAGAUUAAUUUUGUGGUCUUGUUUUGCUCUGUUGCUAUUGCUUGAUGUAAUAUUUUCUUAUUUAGUCCUUUGUUUACUUGUAUGUACUUGUUUGGUGUGCAUAGAAGGAUCGCAGUUCGAGGGAUUCGAAGAGCAAGGAUUUGAAGACUUUGAGUGGUAAGAGUAAGUUUAGGAAGGCAAGUCGUGCCCUUGAUCACAAUUUGAUCCUAUGCAAUUUUUAAUUGUAUGUUCAACACACGUAUGCUAUGCACUUUAAGUCUAUAAAACAUGAUGGAUCUGGGAAAACCAGACUUCCUCCCUUCACUACACAAAAAUCGGACCUUUUAUCUGUGGAACGGAAUGAGAUCUUUCAUCGAUGGAUGCGUGGCGUCUCUGGCGCGCGCGACCGGGGUUGCGGCUUCCAGAAACGCAAGCGAUGAUACACGUGGAGCGAGUUGGUCACUUGGGUUAUUGUCGGAUUUCGGUCAGGUGCUUUCAGCAUGGUACAACAAGACCGCAAGAAGCAGAGCAAUCCUGAGCAGCGCAACUAGCCACUGCAGCGAACUUCAACGGUACAAUGCCAAGCAGCGGAGCAAUCGUGGAUUACUUUACCGACAAGGCACAGCCAUGACCAGCCGCAGCUCUACUUCGUCAUGCCUCUGCUAAAUCGCUGACAAGGCUGGAGGUCUCGUCAGUUACCUCUUCAAAACGGGUGCUUUUGGAUUCUCCAGAAGCUGGGCCGGCACGUCUUCCACAAAAUCUGAUGAGGACAUCACAUGCUUGGAUACAACCAUAUUGGCAUCUUUUGACUCCGAGGUGAAACAAUUCUUUAUCAUAAUUAUAUGUGACACAUUUGAUGAAUUGAUGCUGCACCAUGAUGUGUUUUCGUUGUCAAUUUCAGAAAUACGUACAUGGAUCAAAAAUAGUGUUAAACACACAUGGAAGGCAUGGAGGACCAAAGAAGUAGAUUGGGGGCCAAGUCCAAGUAUUCCUAACGUCCUCCACCAGGCCACCACGUCACUUUUGGCCCAAGGAAAGAAAGAGAUCCAAUCCAACACGUUUUGGUGCUGGAUUCGGACUACAGUUCUGGCCCAACUUGCAACGACCGCCACGACCUCAUCCGGACUCCGUUUUGGGCGUUCAAGUACUCCUUGGAAUCCUUAUGAAGUCUAUUUUCAUAUGGAUCUGGACUCAUGUCCAUAUCUAUUCUGAGGAGGCCGCAAUCAUCGAAAUACUACCGAGAGGUUUUCUGUCCACAGGUGCUGCGUCGCCCUAUUUUGGCCCGAUGGGCCGUGUAUCAAGUUGGGUCCAUUAGGGACGUGUCCUAGGGUUGGAGCACGACCCCAACACCCCCCUGGUCGUCCUCCUAGGUAUUAAUAAGGAUUAGAGCCGCCACGAACAGAUUGGGUUUUGUUUUGAUGUAAGUUUAGCCAUUGCUACUUCCUUGUAGACGCGUGUGUCGACUAGACCAUCCGUUCUACUCGAUUCAGAACCCCAACUUUGUGAGUUCAGAUUGGUUUUUCAUCUCCAUAUUUGCAAUUGAGUUGCUUGUUCUACUUGUUCUUGCUUGUUCUUCGAUUGCUUGCAGGACGAGUGCCCUAGUGGCCGGGUGACGCGCUCCACAAGAUCGCGGCAGCCAUUGGAGGUGGUGUAUCGGUUGCUAAGGCGCAGCUUGGAAGGCUGUAGUCGGGCCGUGAACGUCGUCUCCAUCGACCAAUCGAGUUAUCCCACGCCUCUCAUCGAAAGAUCGGGAAUCAACCCGCUAAUUAGCAUAAUAUUCAGGAAUGAAUGCAUCUCUAAAAAGAAAUUUGAAGUCUUCCCAAGAUUCUAGAACUUUGUUGUGCCUACAAAUGCGUUUCCAUUCAAGCAAAGCAUAUUCAGUCAAAACAUUAGAGGCAAUAUAAAUCUUUUGUUUCUCGGACAGGUCAUGCUCAUCAAAUUCAUUAUCUACUUUUAUCUCCCAAUCAAUGUAAGCUUUAGGAUCAAACUUACCAUCAUAUAACGGCAAGUGAUGAAUAACACUCUGAAUAUGAGAGUCUAGUUUCAUCAGCUCCAAAAUCUCCGUAUCACCUGCCAUGGUUAGUAGGAAACCAGAAAUACAAAAAUAAUAUGUAUCCUCCUGUCAACUACUAUGAUAUGUUGGUUGUAAUUCUCUCAAACUCAACUUGUAAAAACAAGCCCUUACAAGUUCUUACCAAGCCAAACAGGAGGUGACGGCAACCAACAAGUCUACAACCGUGGAGUGAAGUGUAUCGGUGCCGCAGCAACAAAAAAACCUGUCAAGCUGUAGUCGAAUAUGUGGAGCUGUAGGUGGGCUUAAGCAAGGAAAUAUACUAGCACCACGUUAGUCACAAAAGCAAGUUGAGUAAUCAUUCAACGGUGGUACUGUGCUGGUCCUAGGCUAAACCAUGCUAGAGACGUGAGCCUAGGCACAAAGGUAGUCACUGAAAAGAGCAACUAGCACAGCACAAAGAAAACAACAGAUUCAGCCCCUUCUUUCUUCUCCUUGUCUUGUCCUUUUUUUUUUCUUCUUCUUCUUUUUUUUUCUUUCUCUUGUUUUUUUUGUUUUUUUUUUUUGCAGAGGCCUAAAUCUUUUAUUUGGUACUAUGACAACCCAAACAAUAAGGCUAUUGCACACAGCCCCUUCAAUUUUAAAUUUAACAACUCUGUUAAUACAGUAGAUGNNNNNNNNNNNNNNNNNNNNNNNNNNNNNNNNNNNNNNNNNNNNNNNNNNNNNNNNNNNNNNNNNNNNNNNNNNNNNNNNNNNNNNNNNNNNNNNNNNNNUCAGAUCCGUUGGAAAGAAGACAACUUCAAGUUUCCAGAUUGUAUUUAAACUCCCAAAUUGGACAUCAUAUGAAACCGUGGUGGUAGAAAUGAAGCAAUGAUGUAUAUGGUGAUGGUGGAUCUCGUGGUGACCAAAACGUGAUAGAACUCAAAACUCUAAAGGAAUAGACACUAAGACCAGCAACUUGACGCAACCGAUGCAACCAAAAACUCAACAAGCCCUAACUAAGCAAUGCUAGCAAAGGCUCAAAGGGUUUAUAGGAUUGUAGGUAAACUAAUCUACUAUCUUUUUUGUGCUUUUCUGGACUAUAGGUAAUUAAAAUCAGCAAGGAACUGGAAGUCUCUCACCGAUAAACCUUGCUCUGAUUACCAACUGAAUCAUUGCUGCUUAGUUAGGGCUUGUUGAAUUGGAUCUCUUUCUUUCCUUGGGCCAAAAGUGACGUGGUGGCCUGGUGGAGGACGUUAGGAAUACUUGGACUUGGCCCCCAAUCUACUUCUUUGGUCCUCCAUGCCUUCCAUUUGUGUUUAACACUAUUUUUGAUCCAUGUACGUAUUUCUGAAAUUGACAACGAAAACACAUCAUGGUGCAGCAUCAAUUCAUCAAAUGUGUCACAUAUAAUUAUGAUAAAGAAUUGUUUCACCUCGGAGUCAAAAGAUGCCAAUAUGGUUGUAUCCAAGCAUGUGAUGUCCUCAUCAAAAUCCUCUCUGUAUUCAUCAUUGUCUAGCUCCUGGAUGGUGGGGUUCAACCAAUUUGCUUGUACCAUAUAGUUCAUUCCUAUUAUUUAAAUUAACUAGGAUGACUUCAUCAUGGAUGAGUUGGUACAAUUCACCCAACCAAACAAAAGGAUCAUUAUUAUUUUGAACAAUUUCAUACAUGAACCAAAUGAUACAAGCAACCAAACACAACCUAUAUUAACCAGACGUGAUGUGCCUUCCAAUAUGCUCUAGGUGAUGAUUAUACUAACCUGAUGUGUCUUCCAAGUCCAGCACAUGCAAGAACCUCAUCUUGUUAGAAAUGAAAAAGGACCUGCAUUUCCCAAACAUUGUUAACAAGCGUGUAGUACACGGGACAGAUCCACUUUGUUCUCAAACUCACUCUUACCACCCACCGCAGCACAUGCCAUGUCUCUGGACUGCAGAGACUUGAGAGAAAAAAAACAGAGCGCAUUACCGCAUCCUAUGUCUGUACCUUGAUCUCGGACUGUUUCCCCGUGGCCCCGAAACGAAGCAAGACGCGGCAUGCAUGCCCGGGUGCUUGGCGGCUGCGCGCACGGUCUCGCUCUCAGCAACUUGGCUUGUCCGUUAGCUUCCAGCAAGCGGCCAAAUGGGUCCCUACUUGAAUAGGGCCUUGCUCUGGAGCUGCUCUCAUGGUGAAAUGUGCAGCACCAAUAGCCCAACACAGAAAUUCCUCCUCUGCACACUCAAAAGCUCCCGCUGUUCGCGUAGUGCCGUGGUGGCCUUGGGAAGGGAAUCGAAAUGGGGAACCAAAACACAGUGCUGAUACGUAUCACGUAAAUAAAACUCUUUAUUGCAUUAAAAAAACACUCUCUUCUUAAUACAAAGAUACGCAGCUCUCCCGCGUAUUCUAGAAAAAAUUAAAAAAAACACAGUGCUGAAACUGAAUCGGGCUGGAACAACAACGAGGCAAGCUGAACCAUGCGUGGUUCUGUAUUUUCACAUGCAUAUUGUUCCAUAGCUCUGGCGCAAUGUGGUCAUUCUCUCUGGUUUUAUGGGAAUAAGCAAUGCUUAUGCAGGGGUUGCUGGCCUGUGGCUGAUCGCCGUGGAGCCGCUGCCCCUGGUGCCAGUGGACAAGCUAAAAUACUACUCCAGCGAAGCACGAAAAAUUGUGUGGCCUGCAAUGGAGUGCUGUGCAUUUCCUCUGUUAGUAAUGGCAGGGACGCAAGGGAGCUGCAACAUCACUUGCAAAAAAAAAUGAUGGCAAACCAACUCAAGCAUACACAACCAGCAACCCUGCAGACCAUUGUGGUGAACGUUCAUACAAAUGACCUGUACAGUUAUUCAUAGUCCACACCAGUCUUUGUAGCCCAAUUACUGAACUGAUGAACAUUAUUUCACUUCUAUCAGGCGAUGCAUGAUGGAGCAGCACACCAGUUAUUCUUAUUUGGCACAACCACAUAAGCAAAAAAAGGAAUACGUACGUAUAGACGAACAAAACAAAAAAUAGAUGAUUCAGAGACGCCGCACUAGACCCACAGGAUACUGACACGAUCGACCUUAGCUGCAUGCGUCAAAAAGAAAUACAUCAACAGUAGGACUGGAGAUUAAUUUUACACACACAUCAAUUGUUCAGAUGCACAAAGAGGGUAACAGGGAAGCAGCAAGAGCAAUGACCUGGCACGACGAUCGGCUGACUCUGCAGCACCUCACCACCUCUUCAAAGCGGGUCCAUUUGGAUUGGCACCAAGCUGGCCCUGCAGGUCUUCCAUGAAAGCGUGCUCAUAAGUUUUGCUGUCCAGCAUAAAUUCCUUGAGGCUCCGGAGCAAUGGUAGCCCGGAAAACAUCCCUGUGUUGGUUUCUUCAAGCUUGCCACGAAAAUCCAGCCGCUCAAGCUGAAGCAUUGCCCCUUCUUCAAACUCCACCGAUUUCAGGCCAUCUAUGUCAUUUAGCUCCAGCACUAUCAGACUCGGGAAUGCCUCCGGAUGGAAGGUGAAACGGAGGUCGUCAACCUGGAACGACUUCGCCCACAGACGUAAGCUGACCAGGUUCGGUAGCUUCCCAAGAACUUGGAGUGCAGGUUCGUGCUCCAGUAUUCUAGAGCUCCUUAGAACCAACUUCACAAGAUUCGGGAGCCCCUGGACCCAUCCUGGCAAUUUGACCAAAUUACCGUAUAUCUUGAGGCUCUGGAGUGUUUUUGGAGCGGAGGCCAAGCCCUCCAAACAGCCAUGCAAACCUGGCAUCCCCCAUGCCUGCACUAGCAAAGAUUCCAGACAGCUGAGAUUGGCAACGACUGAACAGAACUCCUGGCUGUUUUCCUUGUUGAUGCCAGUCACAGCUAACUUGCGCAACUGGGUCAGUCCUUUUAGGUCCCGUAGAAUUGCUUUGUCCCAUGCGAGAUUCACAAGACCCAAUGUGCGCAGGGAUUUUAGUUUCCCUAUCCCUCUUGGCAUCCAAGUUGGACCUUCCCUUGCCAUCAGAAGAGGGAACCACCAGCAGCAACACUGAGUGCAUACAUCACACCUAUUCAUGUCACCAUCCACACCCAUAACCUCUUUAACAAGUUGAGGUGCGCAACAUACCAUGCAAAAUCCUAGCAACCAACCCAUACAAAAGCAUGGCCUGUUAUUCACUACUUUUGGCAGUUCUUCAAACGUUAAUGAAUCAUCAUCCUUUCCAACAGCCCCAGCACGAAGAUAUUGUAGCUUCUUGAGCUUGGUGAUGGUCUUGGGCAGCUUUAAAAUCGCUGUCUCUGAAAUAUCUAGUGUUUCUAGUUGCUUUAGAUUACCCAACGAAUCUGAUAGGUGAAAAAUAGAAUCACAUCCUCUUAGAGAAAGAUAUCUGAGGUGAAGAAGCCUCCCAAUAUGCUCUAGGUGAUGACUAACCAGACCUGACGUGCCUUCCAAGUCCAGCACACGCAAGAACCUCAUCUUGUCAGAAAUGAAAAAGGACCUCCACUUCCCAAACACUGUUAACGAGCGUAUGCGGGACAGAUCCACUUUGUUCUCAAACUCACUCUUAUCUGCUUCCCAGUUGGUGCUUAUGACAAGGUGACGAACUGUGCCCUGGGUGUUUGAGCUGCAACCUUCCUCCAUUCUAAAAACAAGAUUUUCUUCUGUUGACUUUGAGAUGCUAAUCUCACGCAUGAGAUCAUGGACUUGGCAAGAGUCAAUUCCUUUUCUACUAUUAACUGAUAGCUGAGAAGGUAGGAUCAUGCUCCUCUCUAUUAGUUCCAUGAAGUAGUUGUCAGCUACUUCUUCUGGGGACUUAUCUCGAAUCUCCCUUGAGUAACCUUCUGCACUCCACCGUCGUAUCAAACGUCUUCGACUAACCUUGUGAUCUUCAGGGAAGAUGGAUGUAUAUAGGAAACAAGACUUAAGAUGAUAUGGUAGACCAUCAUAACUUUUACCAAGAAUUGUUUUUAUGGCCCCAAGCUCCGGGUUCAUUUCCAAUUCAGCACUAAUAUGCUCAUUUAAUUUCCUCCACUCUACCGCUACUUUUGGUUGCUUUGCCAAGAAGCCUCCGAUGGUGACUAUUGCAAGGGGGAGUCCAUUGCACUUCUUCAAGAUCAUUUUUGCUUCUUUGAUCAAUUCAGGAUGCUUAUCCAAAUCUUUGGCCUCCUUAAACACCUGAAAUCAGUAGUGCUUAUUAUGUUCUUUGAGAUUGAAAAUACGUACGAAUGGUCUAUGUAGUUUACUUAUUUAUUAGAAUGACUAUUGCACAAUUAUUAGUCUCAUGCCUAUUGAAGAAUAGAACUAUUAGUUAUGAUGUCCUUAUAUUGUAAUGAAAGAUAACACAAAUGGCGGCAGGAUUAUAUUGUAAUAUAGUAUACCUUUCUUGUGAAGAGGUCUUGUGCAUCCUUGCAGUCAAGAACUUUGAGCUUGUAUAUGUUUUCUUGUUUCUCUGAACAAUGUUUUGCUAUACUCUCUUCCCUUGUGGUCACUAUAAUCCGGCAUGAACUAUCUAAUUUAGGGAAGCUUCCAAAUAUAUUAUCCCAUUCUGCUAUUGAUGAAAGAUCAUCAAGAACAAUCAAGCACUUCUUCCCUUCAAGAAGCCUAGCUAACUCUUUUAUUAAUGCUUCAACUCCCAUCAUUACUGGGGCUGUGUUUCUUGCACCAUGUGCAAAAAUCUAUUGCUCCUUUCUUUUCAGAAGAUUGUACAUUUAGUUGCAUAAUUAAGCUCUUCAGAAACUCCUUACGAAUGAAAGGGCGCAUCACUGUAACACAAGCAUGCUUCUCAAACACACCAACAAGCUUUUGACUUUCAUAAACAUCUUUGAUCAGAGUAGUUUUCCCAAUACCACCCAUUCCCCAUACUGAGAUCACCGCAUGCUCUUGAUUAGAUCGAUUUGAAAUGAGGUUGAUGAUAUCAGUUUUUUCUUUUUGCCGACCGAUAAGUUGUGAUUCCUCCAAAGCACUUGCCAUAGUUUUGAUGCGAGUAAGGCUUUUUGUGAAUACCUUUAUCUCAUUGCCACCUUGAGAUUGAUGUCCCAGUGCUACAUUAGUACUUAUUGAUUUAUCUGAGCUGGACACUACCACUGGUAUUUUUAUUUGAUCUUGACAAUCCUAUGCAGAAGUAAACUUUAGUUAUCAGAAUUUUAAAUUUGUCGAUGUUUAAACAAUAUUUUGACUCAAAAGGUAAAUUCUAGCAUAAAUGCAUAUAAAUUUAUGAUGGCCAUAGAUAGAUUGCUUGGGUAAUUAAAAGAAACAAGAUAGAUUGAUUAGGCAAGAAUGAAAUUAUAACAUAUAGGGGAGGCUAGUAUCUAGCCCUAUUACAAAUGAGGUGUUUAGAUAGAACUAUAAUGUGUAAGAUUGUUAUUGGCCAAUAUAUAGAUUUUAUUUAACACUAAUAUUACUAAUAAUAGAUUCUAUUUGGAUGAUCGAUGUUAAAUCUCAAUAAACACGCUAGAAAAAUAGAUAGAUCUUAGAAAAUCUCACAAAGAGCGAAACAUUCUACCAUCAAUUUUGUAGACUCAAUCCUUGUUGAUAACAAUAAGCAUAGGAUGUAAUUUACUUUAAAAAUGACCUACCUCUACCAUUACAAAGAUAAUAUCCAAAAUCUACACCUAAAAUCCCCACAUAUGCCAUUAUGAAUAAGAAUUUAUUCGUCCUCUAAAUCUCCAUACAAGUGACCAAUCACUGCUACUAUGAAAAUAAAGCGUAAGUAACCUCACAAUUUGUAUCUAAAUUACCAAUACCCUCUACCAUUAUGAAUAAGAAUUUAAAUAAGAUAAUAAAUUUGUGGCUAGAUUAUCCACUGUUUCCAUUAUUAAAAAUGACUUAAAGUAAUGCUUAAAUCUACAUAUGAAUUACACAUUUCUAUGAUUAUAAAGUAUAAUAAUCCAAAGCAUGCCCUAUAAAUUCUUCUAAAUUGAUCAUUUGUAUCAUUAUUAAUAUGUGAAAAAACUAAAGUAUACACAUCCAUGAUGUGUAUCAUAUCACCAUAGAAACCAAGUAGCAAGCAUGCAGGGAUCAAUAGAUGCAUUGAUUUACAUGGUUUGGCAAUAACAAAAGUUAUUUUCUUAAUGAUUCAUAUUACAAUGGCAGUCCACAUUAAAUUAUAUUACAAUACUACUAAAUGACAAGAAUUAUUUAAGUUGCUACUCUAGAUAAAUGUAUUACAUUUUGACUGACAACAUUAUAACAUCUACAAUGAUAGUUACAUUAUGACCACUCUAAUUAUUUACUCCCUCAAGCUAUUCUUUUGAUCUAUUUUUGUAACAUAAGUUAUAAUGUCAUGUGUCGUCCCAAUUAAUAUGAACUUAAAACUCAACCGGUACAUGGAAAAACAAAAAUAAAAUAUCUCAUUAGGGGUAGCAUGGACCAAUUGAAUUAGUUUGGAUCAGUUGUUCAAGUGACUAAGCGGACAUAGCGGAUUGCUUAGGGUAGUAAAAUAGACUUCUUCAUUUAGUAAGGUCUUUCUAUAGAGAAAUUUUUACACCUCUAGACAUGCUAGUUGAGAAUCUUGUUUAUUCCUUCCACUUCUAACAGUUAUGCUUCUUAUGCUAGCAUGUAUAGGAGCAUGUGUACUUGUUGAUGGACUCGCUCUUAUUGACGAAAAUUGAUACAUUCUUUCCUGUGCCUAUGAAUAUGGUAAAAGAAUCCCCACAGAACAUCGACCCCCACGGCUGAUCGGAACUGCUUCACUAAGCUUUGGAUGAAGUCGAUCAUUCGGAUUGAACGGAUGCGAGAUCCUUACCCAUGCCCGGCACGAAAACUUCUUUUUGAUAUCUGGAUUCUCGUAGGCCGCGUUGAUGAUGGAUGUCUGCCCAAGAUCACCACUGGUUCCCCACACUGCGAUCACUCUAAGAUCCUCGCCCGGUGUGUUGAUCAGGUGGACCAGGUCCACUUUUGAGUUGUCAUUCUUCGCAGCACGCCGUGCAUCAUCGAUGCCGAAUAUCGUCGCAGCUGUAAUGCUUGACUGCUCAGCAGAAGUGACCGGCUUGGAGCCAGCGCUCUUGAUGAGCUGGUAGCGCAGGUUCCUCUGGCUCACGUCCUCAACUCUGGCCCUCAGCUCCUUCAUCUGCUUGGCGAUGCGGCACCGCUCUUGCCACGUGCGAGGAAGGUGCCACCAAGAUGGCUUGUGGAGAUGAACAGAGAAAUCCUGGAGGCAGUCCUCCGCAUCGUACGCCACGUCACGCACUUGUUUCACCCAGGUCAUGAGCACCUCAUGGUUGUCUCGCUCGUCGUGCGUGGCCCUCAUAAAGGCUUGCAUCAUCGCGAGCUCGUCUCUGAUGAAAGCAUGAUCGCGCUGGAUGCCGAGCUGCAAGGCUACCUCCUCUGCGACAGCGGAUUUGGCGUAGGCCCUGUUUGGAGUCGCUUAUUUCCCGCUUAUUGGUGGAAAUAAGCGAUAAACCCACCUAAACGCCUUGCUUAUUCCCCGCUUGUCACGUAAGCCGCUUAUUGGAGAAUCUGAAAUACAACUAGCACUCAGCUUAUCUCCUACGCGGGUCAGACCACGCUUCUGGGGCAAGCGGAGAAAUUUUCCCCCGGGUACCCUCGGGCAACGGCCUCCAGGCGACCACCGCCGCUCCUCCCGCCGCCGCCGCUCCAGAUCCCGCCGCCGCCGCUCCAGAUCCCGUCGCCGCCCCCCUGCAGAUCCCGGCGCCGCCCCUGGGGUCGGCCGGGCCGCUUCCCUACCUCCGGCGGCCGCCCCUGCCAGGCUCCCGCCGCGGGCCGCUAGCCGCCGGACGCCCGCGCCGCCGGACGCCUGGGCGCCGCCCCCGCCGGCCCCGGCGCCGGACGCCCCCGCCGCGGGCCGCUGGGCGCCGCCCCCGCCGCCGGAAGCCCCCUCCGCCCCCGCCUGGGCGCCACCUCCGCCGGUCGACGCCCCAUCCCCCUGGAUCCGGCUCCACCGCCGAAGUCUCCUGCUGCCUGGACACCGCCCCGCCGCCGGACGCCCCCGCCGGAGUCUCCUGCUGCCUGCGCCGGACGCCCCCGCCGCCUGGCCGCCGCCUGGCCGCCGCCCCGCCGCCGGACACCCCUGAAGUAAGUUUCUGGUUCCCCAGUCCAACAGGCUUUUUAACCAUCUCUGAAAUAUGCAUUGAAGCAAAUAGCAAAUAUACAUAUUGACAUGGCUCAACUACAGAAGCAAAAAAGUUAUAGGGCAUUCUUUACGUUAUGUACCUUAACGUCACCAAAAGCGGUGAUUCACUUGAGUAUCAGAAACUAUUCGAAGAGCACAUCCGGCCAGCGCUGAAGGACAUAGUCUGGGCCUGGCAUGGAGAUGAUCAGCAGCAAAAGCAGGAGUAGCUUUGGAUGCCUCAGUUUGUGGUCUGAAAUUCCGUUUGAUUUUUCAGCUCAGAUUUUAUUUUCAUGUGUUCAUUGUUAGCAACUACAUUCGUUUUUGUAUUGGAAGAACACCUGUUGAGUUGUGUUGAUGUGAACCAUUAGGCUGUAUUUCGUCGAAUAAUAAUUGUUGAGAGGCUGAGUUCUUGAGUUUUAUUCUGAAACUCUUUCUGUUCUGUAAUUGCUGUCCCCGUCGAUAAUGAUAUACAACACCUCUGGUGCUUGAAAAAAGGCUAAGAUUUCCAGUACUAAGAUAAUAGCUUCUUUUGGUGAAACAUCGUGCCUAGAGCAUGAAUUCUCUGCGCACAUAUGACAUUUGCAAAAAAAUAUGCAUCUCAUCACCUGCAUAUGGAAUCAAUUAAUUUUUUUUAGCCACUCCAGCAACCGAAUGCCAAUGUGAUUCUCUAUGGCAUCAAGAAUGAUCUAUAUGUUCUUUAUUAGUUUAAUUCUCCAAUAGAGAGUGCACCAACACAUGAUGCGUUUACUGUUCUAUCUCCAUAUAAAUCUUUUAUCGUGUCACUAUAUAUUGUGAGGUGGCACAUUAGUCCAGGCAAACCGAAGUUGAUAGACAUCAGGAAUGUAGGUAUUAUUUAUCCAAAAUCCAUACCACAGGAACUGGUGGUUACCAGUGUAACAAACUAGUCAGGGAGCAGUGCACUUCUAACUUUGGUACAGUGGGAAGGCGCGUAGAAAUAAGACAGUGGCAAAAACAAUCUUUUUCAUUAAUUCUUUUUUCAUUUUGCAUUGGAGUCUCUUUGGACCUAUAUGAUGAUGGAGUAGCUCAUAACAAUUUUAUGUAUGCGUGUAGUUGCUGCGAAGGAUCUGGACAGCUGUAGCUGUUACGACUGCAAGGCCGCCAACAAAUAGCAAGGUAAAAUUUGUGUCACUUCUUGAUGGAUUGCUAAAAUGACAGAUUGUGGUUUGUAUGAUCAGUGAACAAGCUCGUAGAUUUGUAUUUAAUUCUACAAUACUGUAAUCAAAUUUUAGAUGGAAAAGUCGUCAAAGAUUGUGGCAAAAUGGGAUUCAUUUGCCGCGAAAGCUUUCAAUGACAUUUGUGUGGAAGAAGUACUUGCUUUCAAUCGACCGCAGCAAUGUUUGAAUGCGGUGGGAUAUGCAAACCUUAUUAGAAAGUUUUAUGAGCGUACCAAGAGGCCAUACGGUGAGAGUCAAAUGAAGAAUAGGUGGGAUAUAUUGAAUCUAUCAUGAGAUUAGCUGUUGACAUUGUGAGGCCUAAGGAUCUGCAAUUUUCUACUAUUCAUCCUAAACUACAAGAAGCAAGGUUUUGGCCUCAUUUCAAAGAUUGCAUAGGAGCAAUUGAUGGUACCCAUAUACCCGUAACUGUGCCAUUAGCUGAUCAACCGAAAUACAUUGGUCGGCAUGGGUAUCCUUCACAAAACGUCAUGGCGGUUUGUGACUUUGAUAUGCGGUUCACAUUUGCUGUCACUGGUUGGCCUAGUUCUGUCCAUGAUACUCGUGUAUUAUUGGACACGCUUGUCACAUACAAGGAUCAAUUUCCACAUCCUCCCGAUGGUAAGGACGAGUUAUGUUGCAAUUUAUUUUUCAGGGAAUAUUUGCUCAUUGUGAUAUAACAUGUAAAUAUAAAAUGCAGGUAAGUACUAUCUUGUUGACUCUGGAUAUCCUAAUAGAAAAGGAUUUCUUGCACCCUACAAGGGACAGAGGUAUCAUGUUUCCGAAUGGCAGCAUGGUCAGCAUCCGGUAGGAUUGAAAGAAGUGUUUAAUCAUGCACAUUCAUCCCUUAGAAAUGUGAUUGAGCGAUCAUUUGGAGUUCUAAAGAUGAAGUGGCGCAUUCUCUUGAAUUUGCCCAGUUAUCCGAUUAACAAGCAGUCGAAAAUUAUAGUUGCUUGUAUGGCCCUUCACAAUUUCAUCAGAGAUAGUGCCGUACAUGACGUGCAUUUUGAAGAGGAUUUUCAGGAAGAUGAUGGUAAUUCAACCCAACCUAGCACAGAUGGUGGUGGUGGUGCUUUAGGAGAUGACAUUGAUAUGGGUGCAUUGCGUGAUGCUAUUGCUGUCGCUAUGGUUUCAUGAUUCGUUGUUGUACCCAUGAUGGAUGUUUCCAUACUAUUCCGAUCUAUCGUAUGAAUUUCAUAUUAUUGUAAUGUAAUUUCUAUUUAACAAACUCCAAAGGCAUUAGAAUUAUUGUCUUCUCCUCAGAUUCACAAUAAAAAUGAGCUAUUAUCAGCCUUAGGGGCAUUCAGGUCAAUUUACCAACCAGGACAGACAAUCGACACAAAAUAAUUAGGAUUGCCAAACACUCUGCUUAUUCAGACAGCAGCUUAUCCAGGCAGCAGGCUUACCAGAUAAGCUUGCUUGUCAGAUAAGCGAGUUCCAGAAAAGCGUAUACAAACAUGGCCGUAGCCAAGCGCUCCAUCCAGCACGGACUUGCCCACGCUCAACGCGGUGGCCUCCAUGGCUCUCCUCUCGGGUGUGCUGUGUGGUGUGGAUGGGUGUGGAAAUGCUUGGUGCCAGUCCACAAGCCAGCCAUUUGGUUAAAAAGGUGAACUCAACAACUAGAGGACCGAGCAAGUUAAAAAUUUUCAUGAGGACUCGUACUUAGUGUAGCAGUUCCUCAAGUCGUACCAAAUUAAUUUAGUGGUAGGCUAUGUUAAUUAAGUUAUCUAAAAGCUUUUUUACAUAUGCCUCCGGCUAGUAUUGAGAUGCACGCAAGAGAGCUGUUGGGCCAAGCUUGCAGAGUGCUGUCAAGGAUAAGGACAUUUGGAAUCAACUGAAACAUCAUAAUAAGUGCAAAUUUCCCUGCGCGUACCAGACUUCAUUAACUAUAGUUAUAGAUUAUUCGUAAAUUUUACUAUAGGUGUAAACCCUCAACGACUCUUUGCAUUGAGUGCAGGAAAGUACUCGACAAACCCAGAUCGCAGACAAAUGCGAUGACCUCGCCUGAGGUGGUUGGGGCAAAUAAUUCAGGUGCUUGCGCAGCAACGAUGUGCACUGAAGUAUUAAGAUUGAUCAAGCAGGCAGGCUUUGACUGAAUAGUUUGUUCCCGUGCCCUAUACUACGCAAACUAGGAGGGCGACGGCCCAACGACCACGGGUAAAGAAACGAUCUUGCAUCCAGCUACAAAAUUCUCGGUCUUUUUAAACUCGGGACUAAACGAGUUUUAGUCCCAGGUCCAAAAACCAGCUCCAACGGGGGCUCUUUAGUCCCGAUCAGUAAUAUUAACCGGGACUAAAGAGCCAAUUUAGUCCCGGUUGUAAUGGGUAGAAACAACGAGGGAAUCUGGUAGGACAUUUAGUCCCGGUUGGUAAGGCCACUCAUUUAGUCCCGGUUGGUGGUUCCAACCGGGACUAAAGGAUGAUCUUUAGUCCCGGUUGAAACCAACAACUGAGACUAAAUCCUCUCUUUUUCCCCACUGGCGGCCUCAUCUCUCUCCCCACUGCAUUAUCCUCUUUCCCAACCCACCACUGGCCUCUCUCUCUCUCUCCCUCCACAGAUUCCUCUCCCACCUCUCCUCCUCUCUCCUCCCUCCACAAUCUGCCGCUGGAGCACAAGGCCUCCCCGGGCGCCACCCUGGCCGCCAGCGCGCAAGGCCUCCCCGACUCGCCCCCUAGACGCCAGCCGCCGACGUGCGGGCCUCCCAGGCCGCCAGCCACACGUGCGUGCAGGGCCUCCCCAGCCAGCGCCUAGCCGCUAGCAGCCACCGACACGUGAGCCCUCCCGGCUCGCCACCUGGCCACCGGCGGCGUGGGGCUGGUGGCUCCCGAUAGCUACGACGGCGAGCGCGAGGACCAGGAUGAGGAGCAGCGCGGGCUGGGGUAGGGCCAUUGGUGGGUCUGGCAGAGUAGAGCCCGAGGGUCUGCUGUGGGCAGUGCGUCGGCAAGGUUGUUUCCUACCAGCUCGGCGCGCCCACGCGGACGGUGCUCAUCCUUCUUUCACAUACGUUAUCUGUAUGCGUGUGUUUUUUUCCUGAUUCCUGCUUGUUCAUGGGUGUCUUAUUACUUUCUCAUUUUUUUCAUUACCAACUAACCUUUCUUGUUUUUUGCCCUAGCUCCUCCAUCUGUUUUUGGAUUGUGCCCCAACGGUUAUGCUUGUUGCAAAUUAUUUAUUUUCCUUCCUUCCAUCUUCUUACAUUUUUGGUGAAUGGUGUACAAUAGGUUCUAGCAUGUUUGUACAAAGCUCUUGAAAAGUUGUUUUAUGAAAUAUGUUCAUAAUUAAUAACUUGAUGGAACACAUAAGUUGAUCGAAACAAAAUCAGAAAAAGAAAAGUUCAUAGUUGUUGGCUCGAUUCUCUUAUUUGCUUGUGUUUUUUUCCUUUGCAUUAGCAGGUUGUUUUCUUCUGAAGUAAAUGUUUUCUUAUUUUCUAUCUGCAAUAAUUUAGAAGGGGGCCGGGGGGGGGAGUUUUUUUAUUUUUUUUGAACAUUUUAUUCCCGGUUGGUAAUACCAACCGGAACUAAAGGGGCGACGUGCAUGCACAUGCAUGGCGGCCUCUUUAGUCCCGGUUGGUAUUACUAAUCGGGACUAAAGGAGAUCUUUAGUCCCGGGUGAAUGAUCUGGGACAAAAGGGGGGACCUUUAGUCCCGAAUGAUUAGUCCGGUUGGUUUUUCGAGAGAUAUGUGACUUACCAACCGGGACUAAUGCUCAUAUUUCCACCAGUGGACUCACCAGGGAGAAAAGCACUUUAAGUAGUACACUCUAGGUGGAGACGAAUAAAAUGGGGGUGUCGUGUGCGCUUGAGACGGUGGUCAUGGAAAUUUUUACCUCAAACGGCUGGUGUUUUAGUAAUAGACUACCUUUUAUUUGACAUAAGCAUGAUGGAUAUCAUGAUUGUCUUCUUAAACUUUUUCACUAAUAAUGGACAGCUAUAUAUAUCAAUCGAUACAGCUAUAUGUAUCAAUCGAUAUAAUUGUAUCUAAUAAUGUCAUGAUCCGUGGCCGGUUACGGAGAAAGCUCCCGCUGCUUGCGUGGUGGCGAUGAGAGCCUUGCCGGUGGGGAUGGGGCCACGAUUUGGACACUUAAUGUUGAGAUGACAAGGGGAUCACGUUAGGUUCCGUUUGGCCGAGAUGCGGAACACCGCUAAUUGCUGAAGAUGACAACGUGGGGCCGGUAAACAACUGGGCGGGGGGUGGCAACAGCUAAUCUGAACGAGGCGUCGGGCACUGGUGGAAAACGUUUCUGCAUGUUCAUUCUUCCACGUUGCUCUACUGCAUUGCGAAUAAUCUCUGGUUUCUGAGUGACCAACGAGGCAACAAUAUUGGAGACAGAUGACCAGGAGUUGCCCCUUGAGACAUCAGAUACGUGCAGCAAUCGUGCUCAACUGCUCAGUGUGAACAUCUAGGAUCGAAGCCCUCUAGUAUAAGCUAUCAGAGGGGUGAAUGACUGAAUGAUAGCAAUAAAUCGCAGCGGAAAAUUUUUCACCAUAAAAAUAGAUUCUGGAUCGUCCACUUAAUCGUGUGUCGUUCUUAGAAUUUAACUCCUAUCGACGUGAAACUUGACCAGAAAAUAGUCUAUGAAAUUGUGCAACUAACGCACAAACCUACAGACAAGCUGCUCUGCGGUAGGGGAGAAAACUUCAGCAAAACACUAAAGCUUCUAUGCAGAGUAAAAAAUUAGAUCCUUGAAUCAAAUGAACUACAAUUAAUUGCAUGGGGUUCUUAGUAGUAGGUGUUAGAGAUAACUGAGAACAUGUGAUGCCUCCAGGGUGUAUCCUUCCUUAUUCUCGAGUCAAUUCCAUGGAUGGACGCGCGUGAGGAUGCAUCCACAACUUGUAGCGAAGCAUGUGACCUUGUAUGUGGUGAGAGCAAGCCCAGUGAUGGUUCACUCUGGUGUUCCGCAACUUGCUGCAAGGCCACCUCGUCAGCAACAGAUUUGGCGUAGCCAAGCGCAACAGUGGUGUGUGGAUAUUAAGCUGAUGGUUGUGAAGUGUAGUGCCGAUCCAGAAGCCAGACAUGCAUGGACUGAGACAGAUCAUCAGUGACAAGACAGAAAGUUGGCAUUUAUUUGUUUUAGAAGACUUAGCGACGAUAGUUGCUCAGGUCGUGAUAAGAAGCUAUUCUCAGCUACCAGACUUCAUUGACUAUAGUUAUAGAUGCUGCAACUGUACUAGAUCGAGACAAGUUACACAUUAUUCGUAAUUUUUUCUACAGGUGUAAACCCAUUGAUCCCUCAACGACUCUUUGCAUUGAGUGCAGAAAAGAUGCAGACAACUGCGAUGACCUCGCCUGAGGUGGUUAGGGCAAAUAAUUGAGGUGCCUGAGGUGGAUGUCAUGGUUGUCUUAUUAAGUUCUUUCACUUUCAUUUGGAGCAUGAUCUUAUUUGUAAUCAAUCGAUACAGCUAUAUGUAAUUAAUAAUGUCAUGAUCUGUGGCCAGUUGCGGAGAAAGCUCCCGCUGCUUGCGUGGCAGCGAUGGGGACCUCGCCAGCAGGGACGGGGCCAUGGUUUGGACUUCGGAGAGCCCGCGCCGCUGCGCCAAUGGCUGUUGGGCGCCGGCCGGGGCCCAGCUGGAAGGUGGUGAGGAGAGCCAUGCGAGCCUGUCCAAUUCCACGCACGGCGGCCGCGACGACAAGAGGAUCGCAUUAGGUUCCGUUUGGCCGAGAUGCGGAACCAAUCACACCGCUAAUUGCUGAAGAUGACAACGCGGGGAAUCAUGUCAAUAGGAGAUCUAUAACUCGAGAUAUAAAAUAAACAAGCAGAUGGUGACGAGAACUGGUCAAGCCCUAAUUCCGUGAGUAAGCAAAAUAUAUAAAAAGCUAAUGAAUCAAAAUUCUAAGAUCACUAACUUGAUGCCCUAACAUGGUUUUGGAUGGAUCAAAUCUAAUCACGUUGAACAAUGAAACGAUCUAAACCAAAACUGAAGAAUGAGCAUGCAAGAUGAAAAGCGGAUACAUCGAGGGAGAACAAAAAUUACCAAAACAUCAGUUACGAAACCUUAAUCUUCGUUGCAUCGAAGAAGUGUUAAAAAUGCCUAUACAAGCAUCUUAACCAUACAAAGAUGUUCACGAGAUCCCCAAACUUUAGACUCCGCUAGAAAAAGCAGAAGCGCCACCGCUUGCGUUGUCGUCUGGCUUGGGCGCCAUCACUGUACCGAACUUGGCCGGUUCGGUCUCCUCUUAGGCAAGUACAUUGGUGUUGUCUAAUAGUCGGUCUCAUAUAUUAACAUGUAAUAUUGAGAUGAGUUAACAAACAAUCCGUACGGGUUGUCUUUUUAAGUUGCCUCAUAGCAAUUCUAUUUCCUUAAUUUGUGCAUAGAAAAAAAAGAAAUAUUAUUGUUCUAUGGUAACCACAACUCAUACAAUGGUAGAGUAGUCGUCUCAUAGUCCUAAAAUCUAACCUAUGAGGCGUAUCUUUCUCUCUCCUCAUUCUCUCUCUUCCACAUCAGCAAAAAUCUUACGUGGCACUGAUGACCCUCAUAGCUGAGGUGUAUCAAUGUACUUACCCUUGUAUUUGCCGACGUCAACACCUGACGUGGGCCUUCUCUUUUUUUCACGUUGCGUUGGCCUCAUGUCCGAUUGGUGGUGGACUUGCACCAAACGUGUCCCACAUGGACACAGCACCACACGGCCUGACCCAGGCCCAUUACUGAUGUCAACAGUAGCUCUCUUAAAUUCCUUAAUUCUAGAUAUAGGAUGAUGAACUGAAAAUUUCAUGCUAAUAUCUAGCUAGUUCCUAAAUAAUUUCGUAUUAGCAUAUACUAAUCAACAGCAAAUGUGUUGUAGAAAGUAGUGGUAGACUAAGCAAUUGGCAGUGUUAUACACGUCCUCCAAUGUUGGACCUUUAUCAUGAAGCUUGCUCUGUUUUUUUUUGGGUUUCACACGGCAGAUGGAAGAACAGAAUCUUUGCUUUCCUAACUAACUAAAGCUAAAGCGAUCAUGCUUCCCGUACCAUCCAAAGAACUGAAGAUAAAGCAAAGGAGCCGGUACGAUGGGAGAAGAUGAGAGAUUUAUCUUAACACCUUUGUGCUUCGGGCGGGAGAGCAAAUUGCUAUCUGUGAAAGCUAUUUCCCUAUUUCUUGUACCAUUGUUUUGCAUGGCAGCCUGCCAGCCAAAGCUUGAUCUAAACCCAAAACCAAACUAAACGAAAACAAACAGAAGAAGGUAAGAACUCAAAACAAUUUACCGCUAACAGUAAAUGAUAAAACCAGACUUCCUCCCUUCACUACAGAAAAAUCGGACCUUUUAUCCGUGGAACGUAAUGAGAUCUUUCAUCGAUGGAUGCGUGGCAUCUCUGGCGCGCGCGACCGGGGUUGUCGCGGCUUCCAGAAACGCAAGCGAUGAUACACGUGGAGCGAGUUGGUCACUUGGGUUAUUGUCGGAUUUCAGUCAGGUGCUUUCAGCAUGGUACAACAAGACCGUAAGAAGCAGAGCAAUCCUGAGCAGCGCAACCAGCCGCUGCAACGAACUUCAACGGUACAAUGCCAAGCCGCGGAGCAAUCGUGGAUUACUUUACUGACAAGGCACAGCCAUGACCAGCCGCAGCUUCGUCAUGCCUCUGCUAAAUCGCUGACAAGGCUGGAGGUCUCGUCAGUUACCUCUUCAAAACGGGUGCUUUUGGAUUCUCCAGAAGCUGGGCCCGCACGUCUUCCACAAAAUUCUCCUUGUAUUCAUCGUUGUCCAAUUCCUGGAUGGUGGAGUUCAACCAAUUUACUUGUAUCAUAUGGUUCAUUCCUAUUAGUAAAAUAAUAAAUUAAUUGGGAUGGUUUUAUCAUGGAUAAGUUGGUACAAUAAACUGAUCAUUAUUAUUUUGAACCAUUUCAUACACGAACCAAAUGAUACGAGCAACAAAAACAACCUAUAUUACCCAGACCUGAUGUGCCUUCCAAUAUGCUCUAGGUGAUGAUUAUAUUAACCAGACCUUAUGUGCCUUCCAAGUCCAGCACACGCAAGAACCUCAUCUUGUCAGAAAUGAAAAAGGACCUCCGUUUCCCAAACAUUGUUAAUGAGCGUACACGGGACAGAUCAACUUUGUUCUCAAACUCACUCUUACCACCCACCGCAGCACAUGCCAUGUCUCUGGACUGCAGAGACCUGAGAGAGAAAAAACAGGGCGCAUUACAGCAUCGUACGUCUGUACCUUGAUCUCGGACUGUCUCCCCGUGGCCCUGAAACCAAGCGAGGCGCGGCAUGCAUGCCCGGGUGCUUGGCGGCUGCGCGCAUGGUCUCGCUCUCGGCAACUUGGCUUGUCCGUUAGCUUCCUGCGAGCGGCCAAAUGGGUCCCUACUUGAAUAGGGCCUUGCUCUGGAGCUGCUCUCAUGGUGAAAUGUGCAGCACCAGUAGCCCAACACAGACAUACCUCCGUUCCUCUGCAUACUCAAAAGCUCCCGCUGCUCGCGUGGUGCCGUGGUGUCCUUGGGAAGGGAAUCGAUAUGGGGAACCAAAACACAGUGCUGAAAUGUAUCAUGUAAAUGAAACUCUUUAUUGCAUUAAAAAAAUAUGAAAAAUACUACUUCAGCGAAGCACGAAAAAUUAUGUGACCUGUAAUGGAGUACCGUGCAUUUCCUCUGUUGAUAAUGGCAGGGACGCAAGGGAGCUGCAACAUCACUUGCAAAGAAAAAUGAUGCCAAACCAGCAACCCUGCAGAUCAUUGUGGUGAACGUUCAUACAAAUGACCUGUAUAGUUAAUCAUAUAUAGUCCACACCAAUCUUUGUAGCCCAAUUACUGAACUGAUGAACAUUAUUUCACUUUUAUCAGGCGAUGCAGGAUGGAGCAGCACGCCAGUUAUUCUUAUUUGGCACAACCACAUAAGCAAAAAAAGGAAUACGUACGUACUGACGAACAAAACAAAAAAAAAAGAUGAUACAGAGACGCGGCACUAGGCCCACGUACAGGAUACUGACACGAUCCAUCUUUUUAGCUGCAUGCGUUAAAAAAGAAAUACAUCAGCAGUAGGACUGGAGAUUAAUUUUACACACACAUCAAUUGUUCAGAUGCACAAAGAGGGUAACAGGGAAACAGCAAGAGCAAUGACAUGGCACGACGAUCGGCUGACUUUGCAGCACCUCACGACCUCUUCAAAGCGGGUCCAUUUGGAUUGGCACCAAGCUGGCCCUGCAGGUCUUCCAUGAAAGCGUGCUCAUAAGUUUUGCUGUCCAGCAUAAAUUCCUUGAGGCUCCGGAGCAAUGGUAGCCCGGAAAACAUCCCUGUGUUGGUUUCUUCAAGCUUGCCACGAAAAUCCAGCCGCUCAAGCCGAAGCAUUGCCCCUUCUUCAAACUCCACCGAUUUCAGGCCAUCUAUGUCAUUUAGCUCCAGCACUAUCAGACUUGGGAAUGCCUCCGGAUGGAAGGUGAAACGGAGGUCGUCAACCUGGAACGACUUCGCCCCCAGACGUAAGCUGACCAGGUUUGGAAGCUUCCCAAGAACUUGGAGUGCAGGUUCGUGUUCCAGUAUUCUAGAGCUCCUUAGAACCAACUUCACAAGAUUCUUGAGCCCCUCGACCCAUCCUGGCAAUUUGAGCAGAUUGCCGUAUAUCUUGAGGCUUGCAGGUUUUUCGGAGCGGAGGUCAAGCCAUCCAAACAGCCAUGCAAACCUGGCAUCCCACGUGCCUGCACUAGCAAAGAUUCCAGGUAGCUGAGAUUGGCAACGACUGAACACAAUUCCUGGCCGUUUUCCUGGUUGAUGCCAGCCACAGCUAACUUGCGCAACUGGGUCAGUCGUUUUAUGUCCCGUAGAAUUGCUUUGUCCCAUGCGAGAUUCACAAGACCCAAUGUGCGCAGGGAUUUUAGUUUCCCUAUCCCUCUUGGCAUCCAAGUUGGACCUUCUUUCGCCAUCAGAAGAGGGAGCAUGACGCAGCAACACUGAGUGCAUACAUCACACCUAUUCAUGUCACCAUCCACAUCCAUAACCUCUUUAAGAAGUUGAGGUGCGCAACAUGCCAUGCAAAAUCCUAGCAACCAACCCAUACAAAUGCAUGGCCCCAGCACUACUUUUGGCAGUUCUUCAAAUGCAUUUAAUGAAUCAUCAUCCUUUCCAACAGCCCCAACACAAAGAUAUUGUAGCUUCUUGAGCUUGGUGAUGGUCUUGGGCAGCUUAAAAAUCGAUGUUUUUGAAAUAUCUAGUGUUUCUAGUUGCUUCAGAUUACCCAACGAAUCUGAUACGUGAAAAAUAUAAUCACAUCCUCUUAGAGAAAGGUAUCUGAGGUGAAGAAGCUUCCCAAUAUACUCUACGUGAUGAUUAACCAGACCUGAUGUGCCUUCCAAGUCCAGCACACGCAAGAACCUCAUCUUGUCAGAAAUGAAAAAGGACCUCCACUUCCCAAACACUGUUAACGAGCGUAUGCGGGACAGAUCCACUUUGUUCUCAAACUCACUCUUAUCUGCUUCCCAGUUGGUGCUUAUGACAAGGUGACGAACUGUGCCCUGGGUGUUUGAGCUGCAACCUUCCUCCAUUCUAAAAACAAGAUUUUCUUCUAUAGACUUUGAGAUGCUAAUCUCACGCAUGAGAUCAUGGACUUGGCAAGAGUCAAUUCCUUUUCUACUAUUAACUGAUAGCUGAGAAGGUAGGAUCAUGCUCCUCUCUAUUAGUUCCAUGAAGUAGUUGUCAGCUACUUCUUCUGGGGACUUAUCUCGAAUCUCCCGUGAGUAACCUUCUGCACUCCACCGUCGUAUCAAACAUCUUCGACUAAUCUUGUGAUCUUCAGGGAAGACGGAUGUAUACAGGAAACAAGACUUAAGAUGAUAUGGUAGACCAUCGUAACUUUUACCGAGAAUUGUUUUUAUGGCCCCAACCUCUGGGUUCAUUUCCAAUUCAGCACUAAUAUGCUCAUUCAAUUUCCUCCACUCUACCGCUACUUUUGGUUGCUUUGCCAAGAAGCCUCUGAUGGUGACUAUUGCAAGGGGAAGUCCAUUGCACUUCUUCAAGAUCAUGUUUGCUUCUUUGAUCAAUUCAGGAUGCUUGUCCAAAUCUUUGUCCUCCUUAAAUACCUGAAAUCAGUAGUGCUUAUUAUGUUCUUUGAGAUUGAAAAUACGUACGAAUGGUCUAUGUAGUUUACUUAUUUAUUAGAAUGACUAUGGCACAAUUAUUAGUCUCAUGCCUAUUGAAGAAUAGAACUAUUAGUUAUGAUGUCCUUAUAUCGUAAUGAAAGAUAACACAAAUGGCAGCAGGAUUAUAUUGCAAUAUAGUAUACCUUUCUUGUGAAGAGGUCUUGUGCAUCCUUGCAUUCAAGAACUUUGAGCUUGUAUAUGUUUUUUUGUUUCUCUGAACAAUGUUUUGCUAUACUCUCUUCCCUUGUGGUCACUAUAAUCCGGCAUGAACUAUCUAAUUUAGGGAAGCUUCCAAAUAUAUUAUCCCAUUCUGCUAUUGAUGAAAGAUCAUCAAGAACAAUCAAGCACUUCCUCCCUUCAAGAAGCCUAGCUAACUCUUUUAUUAAUGCUUCAACUCCCAUCAUUAUUGGGGCUGUGUUUCUUGCACCAUGUGCAAAAUCUAUUGCUCCUUUCUUUUCAGAAGAUUGUACAUUUAGUUGCAUAAUUAAGCUCUUCAGGAACUCCUUAAGAAUGAAAGGGCGCAUCACUGUAACACAAGCAUGCUUCUCAAACACACCAACAUGCUUCUGACUUUCAUAAACAUCUUUGAUCAGAGUAGUUUUCCCAAGACCACCCAUUCCCUAUACUGAGAUCACUGCAAGCUCAUGAUUAGAUGGAUUUGAAAUGAGGUUGAUGAUAUCAGUUUUUUCUUUCUGCCGACCGAUAAGUUGUGAUUCCUCCAAAGCACUUGCCAUAGUUUUGAUGCGAGCAAGGCUUUUUGCAAAUACCUUUAUCUCAUUGCCACCUUGAGAUUGAUGUCCCAGUGUUACAUUAGUACUUAUUGAUUCAUCUGAGCUAGACACUACCAGUGGUAUUUUUAUUUGAUCUUGACAAUCCUAUGCAGAGGUAAACUUUAGUUAUCAGAAUUUUAAAUUUGUCGAUGUUUAAACAAUAUUUUGACUCAAAAAGGUAAAUUCUAGCAUAAAUGCAUAUAAAUUUAUGAUGGGCACAGAUAGAUUGCUUGGGUAAUUAAAAGAAACAAGAUAGAUUGAUUUGGCAAGAAUGGAAUUAUAACAUAUAGGGGAGGCUAGUAUCUAGCCCAAUUACAAAUGAGGUGUUUAGAUAGAACUAUAAUGUGCAAGAUUGUUAUUGGCCAAUAUAUAGAUUUUCUUUAACACUAAUAUUACUAACAAUAGAUUCUAUUUGGAUGAUCGAUGUUAAUUCUCACUAGACAUGCUAGAAAAAUAGAUAGAUCUUAGAAAAUCUCACAAAGAGCGAAACAUUCUACCAUCAAUUUUGUAGACUCAAUCGUUGUUGAUAACAAUAAGCAUAGGAUGUAAUUUACUUUAAAAAUGACCUACCUCUACCAUUACAAAGAUAAUAUCCAAAAUCUACACCUAAAAUCCCCACAUAUGCCAUUAUGAAUAAGAAUUUAAUCAUCCCCUAAAUCUCCAUACAAGUGACCAAUCACUGCUACUAUGAAAAUAAAGCAUAAGUAACCUCGCAAUUUGUAUCUAAAUUACCAAUACCCUCUGCCAUUAUGAAUAAGAAUUUAAAUAAGAUAAUAAAUUUGUGCCUAGAUUAUCCAUCAUUUCCAUUAUUAAAAAUAACUUAAAGUAAUGCUUAAAUCUACAUCUGAAUUGCACAUUUCUAUGAUUAUAAAGUAUAAUAACCCAAAGCAUGCCCUAUAAAUGCUUCUAAAAUGAUCAUUUGUAUCAUCAUUAAUAUGUGAAAAAACUAAAGUAUACACAUCCAUGAUGUUUACCACCAUAGAAACCAAGUAGCAAGCAUGUAGGGAUCAAUAGAUAACAUUUUGACUGACAACAUUAUAACAUCUACAAUGAUAGUUACAUUAUGACCACUCUAAUUAUUUUCUCCCUCAAGCUAUUCUUUUGAUCUAUUUUUGUAACAUAAGUUAUAAUGUCAUGUGUCGUCCCAAUUAAUAUGAACUUAAAACUCAACCGGUACAUGGAGAAACAAAAAAAAAAUCUCAUUAGGGGUAGCAUAGACCAAUUGAAAUAGUUUGGGGAGUACAUCUAGUUAUUCAAGGAACUAAGCGGACAUAGUGGAUUGCUUAGGGUAGUAAAAUAGACAUCUUCAUUUAGUAAAGUUUUUCUAUAAGAAAUGUUUACACCUCUAGACAUGCUGGUUGACAAUCUUGUUUAUUCCUUCCACUUCUAACAGUUAUGCUUCUUAUGCUACCAUGUAUAGGAGCAUGUACUUGUUGAUGGACUCGUCCUUAUGGACGAAAAUUGAUACAUUUUUUCCCGUGCCUAUAAAUAUGGUAAAAGAAUACUGGAUACAACAACCUGAAUCCUUGUAACUAUCUGAGAUAAAGAAAAAUAACAAGAGGUGACACUAAUUCGAUAAUUUCUGAAGGAUGAAUAGUACCUUCUCGUAGAAAGCAUAAAUAGUCUGAUGAGCGGAGAACUGCUAAAGCUCCAACGCUUGGCAUUCUUGCCCUGCACACAAGCUUGCAACUUCAAUUUGUAGGCUGCAAACUAUGAUUCGACUCCCUUUCUUGUGGUUCGGCGGCAGACAUGCUUUAACCCCAUUCCACUCUUCGAAGGUGGACAAGUUAUUAAGCACAAUCAGGAAACUAUUCUCGCUUAGGUAUCCAGAGAACUCCUCUGCCAAUUCUUUUCCUGUCUUCUUGGUCUCCAACAGAACAUCGACCCCCACGGCUGAUCGGAACUGCUUCACUAAGCUUUGGCUGAAGUCAUUCGGAUUGAAGGGAUGCGAGAUCCUUACCCAUGCCCGGCACGAAAACUUCUUUUUGAUAUGUGGAUUCUCGUAGGCAACGUUGAUGAUGGAUGUCUGCCCAAGAUCACCACUGGUUCCCCACACUGCGAUCACUCUAAGAUCCUCGCCCGGUGAUUCAGCACUUCGAGCAAGAUCAUCGAGGAGAGGCGGUGUUGAUUGAGCCCGGAGAUGGUGGAGAUGC
rnacentral:lncRNA from 1 species